rnacentral:rRNA from 1 species
UACGAAGGGGGCUAGCGUUGACCGGAUUUACUGGGCGUAAAGCGCACGUAGGCGGGUCGUUAAGUCGGGGGUGAAAUCCCGGAGCUCAACUCCGGAACUGCCUUCGAUACUGGCGAUCUCGAGUCCGGGAGAGGUGAGUGGAAUUCCGAGUGUAGAGGUGAAAUUCGUAGAUAUUCGGAAGAACACCAGUGGAGAAGGCGGUUCACUGGCCCGGUACUGACGCUGAGGUGCGAAAGCGUGGGGAGCAAACAGG